GAAUUCGGGUAGCCCUUAGCAACCGCCGCGCCGUUGCUAAGGGCGUCCUUUGCUUCCGGCGCAAUGUAAACAAAAUGUCGGCGCGCCACGCCCCCCUCAGCCCCGCCCCACUAGCACGAGGGGGCGCGGCCCCGGUGAUGGUGGGCGUGGUCCCGGUAAUGAAGGCGUGGUGUCCAGCUAAUGAAGGGGCGUGGUCCCGGAGAUUUUGGGUACAAACACGCCAGGAUUCAGCACCUGCCCGGUGCUUUCUGUCCAAAGAGCCCCAAGCUGAUGAAAUCUGAGAAAACGACAGGUUUAUAGACAGAAAUCGAAGCAAAGCUCUGCAGGUCGGGCUGCGCUGCCAGGAGGGGACACCGCGCUGCCCCUCGGCCCAGGGCGGGCGGGCACCAGCCGGGGAGGCAGAGAGGAGGAGGAGGAGGAGGAGGAGGAGAUGGGGAGGAGGAGUCAGUGCCGCCGGGCCGGGCAGCGCUCCCGGCUCGGGCAGAGCAGGUGGAGGGGCCGCAGGACAUGGAGGGGCUGAGCCAGCG
rnacentral:lncRNA from 1 species